UGAGUAAUACUUAGGAAUAUGCCUUUGUGUGGGGGAUAACCAUUGGAAACGAUGGCUAAUACCGCAUAACGUCUUCGGACCAAAGGGGGCUUCGGCUCCCGCGCAAAGAGUAGCCUAAGCGAGAUUAGCUUGUUGGUGAGGUAAAGGCUCACCAAGGCGACGAUCUCUAGCUGUUCUGAGAGGAAGAUCAGCCACACUGGAACUGAGACACGGUCCAGACUCCUACGGGAGGCAGCAGUGGGGAAUAUUGCACAAUGGGGGAAACCCUGAUGCAGCCAUGCCGCGUGUGUGAAGAAGGCCUUCGGGUUGUAAAGCACUUUCAGUUGUGAGGAAAGGUUAACGGUUAAUACCCGUUAGCUGUGACGUUAGCAACAGAAGAAGGACCGGCUAACUCCGUGCCAGCAGCCGCGGUAAUACGGAGGGUCCGAGCGUUAAUCGGAAUUACUGGGCGUAAAGCGCACGCAGGCGGUUUGUUAAGCUAGAUGUGAAAGCCCUGGGCUCAACCUGGGAAUUGCAUUUAGAACUGGCAGGCUAGAGUUUUGGAGAGGGGAGUGGAAUUCCAGGUGUAGCGGUGAAAUGCGUAGAUAUCUGGAGGAACAUC
rnacentral:rRNA from 1 species